rnacentral:rRNA from 1 species
UACGGAAGAUGCGAGCGUUAUCCGGAUUUAUUGGGUUUAAAGGGAGCGUAGGCGGGCCUUUAAGCCAGCGGUCAAAUGUCAUGGCCCAACCUUGGCAUGCCGUUGGAACUGGGGUCUUGAAUGCACGCAAGGAAGGUGGAAUUCGUUGUGUAGCGGUGAAAUGCUUAGAUAUGACGAAGAACUCCGGUUGCGAAGGCAGCCUUCUGGGGUGCGAUUGACGCUGAGGCUCGAAAGUGCGGGGAUCGAACAG